rnacentral:lncRNA from 1 species
UACGGCUCGUUACCGCAGUGCUUGUUCGUUCACCCCUUCGGCUUCUUCCAUUCAAAAAGGUAGUGUCUUUUUCCUAUUCUUAUUGGUAAAUAGCAUCUUGAAGUGAAGCGAAGGCAUUCUUGAAGGAAAGAGAUGGCGAGUCAGUCAAUUUCAUUAGAUAAGAGAUGCAGGACCUGUCUUAACCGCAAGUGCAUUCGCUAUUCGAUUCCAUUCUUGAUCCCACCUAAUUUUUAUUCCAAAGUUUGUAUCUCUUCUUUACUUUUAUUUUUAGUGACACGGGAGGCGACAAAGGGUAUACUUUAUUCUUUAUGUCGUCGUCUCAUCAAUGAGCGUAGAUUGAUAGAGAUGGCUUUUGUGCCGGUCAAUCUGUAUCCCAUUCUUCAGGUAUAGUUUUCUUUGAUCACAGAUCAACAGGUGAUCCGUCCCUUCUCCCCUUUUUGUCAUAAGGCGUGGUCUGACUCUGAUAAAAACCAUUCCUAUGUUUAGGUCCCUACUAAGCAGAAUUCAUAAACUAUGCAAUGGCUAUUUGAAUACUUUUCAUUUUAUAGCAAUAAAAGAAAAAACCAUUCUCAACGCUUUUAUGAGGUAGUGAUGAGUUAAACUACUCGUGUUGGCAUGGAAGUCCGCCCGGUAAACUGAUUCCAUUCUGCUACUAGGGUUCCAAACCUUCCCCUUAGCUCUAUAAAGACCUUUCCUUAUCAAGAGAUGCUAAAGCUAUUUAUAGUUGGUAUUUUAAAGUAGGAAGGAUGGCUUUGGGCAAAGAGCAACUCGAAAGUACUUGACUUCAGUCCCAGUACUGAAAGACGUGACUUCAGGAGUGGAUUUCGGAAGGAAAUACUUCGUUUACUUCCUGCAAAUUUCUUAUGUAAGAACUAGUAGAAAGAAAGGAAUUUUGAACAAAAGAAGGCAGCAUUGAUAGACCGUUGAAUGAGAAUGCUUGAAUGGGAAUCGUCUUAGCAACUGGCUAUAGACAUGAGUCAAAGCCGCCGGGAGAGGAGAGACAAUCUUUCAUGAGAGAGGGACGAGCAAGUGACAGAUUGGGAAAAAAAAAGGUAGGCCGGUCAUUUAGGGGCCUUGUUAGCGACCCAUCAUUCUUCCCUAAGCUGUCAGAGUCCGAUCGAAGCGAGCAAGAGAUAGAGGAAUCAUCGCUCAUAGAUGUGAAUUGAGAAAGCAAGCCCGAAUUCCUUUUUAAUUAGGCUCUAUAGUCUGGUCCCUGUCCCUGGUAAGGUCUGAUUGUUAUCCGCAAGUCUUGCGCGGGAAGGUGAACUUUGCAAAAGUGCUUAUUUGGUUGGGAAAGAGAGGACUUCUGACUCCAAGCCUACCCGAAAACAAGUUUCAGCUAUUGAUGUAGCUUCUUGUCGAUACUACUAGUCUUGUCGCUACCUACUAGAGAAAUCCCUUCUAUACCACUCAACAGAAGCAAAAAUCCCAUCAAGAUAGAUUGAAUCGACGACCUAUACUUCAACUAAANNNNNN